UUCAGAAGCUUGCUUCUAUCGAGCUGUUUUAGAAACAUCAGGGGCCAACAGAUCGCCAGAUCGUUGAGCUCCAUUGGCGGGAUUUCGCCGUCUACGUUUCUCUUUCUUCGCGGACGAACACGCGCUGGGCCUGCACGCAGCAGGAUCCGGGGUCCUUAACGGGAUAUGCGUUAGGGGCUUGUAGCUCAGUUGGUUAGAGCGCGCGCUUGAUAAGCGUGAGGUCGGAAGUUCAAGUCUUCCCAGGCCCACCACUUUCAUCGAGUGAGCAUUCGUCUUCUGGUUACGGGGCCAUAGCUCAGCUGGGAGAGCGCGUGCUUUGCAAGCAUGAGGUCGUCGGUUCGAUCCCGUCUGGCUCCACCAGAUGGUUUGAUCAUCGACUGUUCGUGCACCGUCGUCCGCGAAACAUCACUUCGCAUCCUGCUAGUCUGGAUAGACAGCAAGAUGCGUGUUUUCUGACAUCGUAAAGAGGAGAUCGAUCCGAGUUGGGUCGUGUAGCAGAUUGCUGCGCGAAUCCUCCAUUAUCUCCGGAUCAUUUUCGGCGCUUGCUUUCAGCCGUGAGGUUGAAUGCGAGUUGUAAAAUGAUCCUUUUAGCGAAGCUUGACCGCCUCGCUAUCGGAACGAUCUUACGAAGCAAGCUGGUCUUUCUAGUCAAUGUCCGGCUGCGACAAUCGCAUCUUCGAGGGUGCGUGCCUUCAAUGGCAGUUGCGCAGACAACAUUCUGCCGAGUGUGUGGACAUUGAUAAUGAGAGC
rnacentral:tRNA from 1 species